UGCAAGGUUGUUACAACGGUGUAUAGUAUGAGCUGAGAUUUGGGGCACAAUUGAUCCCAUCACACAGCUACUGAGUAUAGUACCCAAUAGUUAUUCUACCUUUCCCCCC